rnacentral:lncRNA from 1 species
CAGGUUUCUGCUGAUCUUGCAGCGCCCAGAAAUGGACCGAGUGGACCCGCCGCCGCACGCACUCUGCCCCACUCGGAGCUCCUAACGGCUCCACGCGCGCCGAGGAGCCUCAGCGAGGUCCACGCUGGGGUGCGGGAAGCGGAGGGGAUCCGAGAGCCAUGUAGAUCCAGGCUCUUGCUCGCGCUUCUCCUUCGGGAUCGAAUCAAGGGCUCCCAUAGUGUUAGGAGGGGGCGAGAGUGCUGUUUAUCGUCAUUUGCUUCCGAGCCUCGGGAGAGGGUGGCAUUUUGCUUUUCCUCCCCGCAUCCUCCGGAACUCCCUGCACCAGCGAGAGGACUGCGUCCUUAGGUUGCUGGCAACCGGUGAGAAUGGGGGUAGGGAACGGACACUUCCGCCGUAGUGGCUCACUCAAUCGACUGUCCCACUGAAGGGGCGUAGGACGAGGGGGCGAGAGCGGCGACUUUGCCAAGCGCCUCUCGGAUGCUGCCACGGCGCCGGCCGCCGCUCCCGCCCGGGUACUGCAAAGGCGACCUGCCGCAUUCCGACUCGGGCUCUCCGCCGACUCAGCACCGCCCCUGCGCCAAGCCGGCCGGCCAGAUACAUUUUGGAGCUCCCUGUCUUCAUGCUGUUUGGCAUCCAGAGAUCAUUCACCCAAUGGAGUCCUUAAAUUUCAUAGUGUCUGGAAGCAGGUUUGCUCUUGCUGCUCCUUCCUUGUUUGCCCCUUAAAGACUUCCUCUAUUAUCCAAUAGUCAGAACCUUCUGCAGCUCUUGGCUUUUAUUAAGUUGAGGGCAACCUGACACCCUCGUUCCCAGGAGGGUGAUAAUAGCAACACCUCCAGUUUGUUUAGCACUUUGCAGUUUUCAGAUCACUUCCAUGUUAAUUAUAUUGUUUUGUUCUGCUUGGGGAAUUAGGUAGGGCUGAUAUCACUAUCCUUGUCUUAUAGGCCAAAGGACCUGCCCAAGGUCGCUGGGUGGAGGGGGCACUCUGGGUUUAUUGAUGAUUCCAUAGUCCAGUGCUGGCACAUGAUAGGGACUCUGAGUGUUUAUUGAGUUGCUGGAAUGCUGGAAUGUGUAAUGUCACAUGUUAAAGAGAAACUAAUGGACUUUUCUUAGGGGUUUAGUCUCUUUGAGUCUUCAAACUGGUCAUUUCUAAAAUGGAAAUUUCCAUUUUAGGGUUAUGUGGAUUAAAUGGAUAACAUAGGUUAACAUGGUUGACAUGUUUGGUAAAUGCUAAAGUGUCCUAUAACAUGUUAUAUGUGAUAUAUAACAUAUGAGUUAUAUGUUUUCAUAUAUUGUAUGUGAGAUAGGAAUAGUUAUGUUAUUAUUAACUAUAAUGAGGAACAGAGGAGCAAGGGGAGAGGGCUGCCAGAUGAUUUCUCCUCAGAGGGGGAACUGUUCUUUAAAGGAAGACUCCAGGGGGAUCAGAUGCUUAAUUCAAAAAAUUAUGGUAUUAUGGUAGAGUCUGAAGACUUGGGGGGCAGAGUUAUUUUCAGUAGGGAUCAUCAGGACAUCCUGCAUAUAACAGCAGCCAUGCUGCAGCCCCACAGAGCACUGAGCCACUAUUUCUGGUUCUGCUCCUCCCCUGCCAUGUCACAUAUACUAUUUUACAUCUUCAGACCCCAAAUAUCAAGGGCAAACUCUGCUCUGUUACAAGUGAAGGAGCCAUAAGGUGUCUCUAAUUUGCAUCCCCUCUCAUUGCCUCAUUUCCCUCAUGUACUGAAUAAUAUUGUGCAAUUUAAUCUUUCUUUCCCCUGUGAACAUUGAGAAAUAAAGCAAGAUAUUGUUUGCAAAGUUUUCUCAUAUGCUUGUCUGAGAGAUAUUAUAUAAAUAUAAAAAAUAUUCUUAACUUCCCUUUCUAAAAAUAAAAUAACCUUCA